rnacentral:rRNA from 1 species
UACAGAGGUCCCGAGCGUUGUUCGGAUUCACUGGGCGUAAAGGGUGCGCAGGUGGGUUUGCAAGUUUGAUGUGAAAGCCCCGGGCUUAACCCGGGAAUGGCAUUGAAUACUGCAGAUCUGGAGGAUUGGAGGGGGGACUGGAAUUCUUGGUGUAGCAGUGAAAUGCGUAGAUAUCAAGAGGAACACCAGUGGCGAAGGCGAGUCCCUGGACAAUACCUGACACUGAGGCACGAAAGCCAAGGGAGCAACAGAUGAUGAU